rnacentral:tRNA from 1 species
GCCUUUGUGGUGUAAUGGUAGCACACUCGGCGCGUAUUCGAGAGGUCCAGGUUCGAGUCCCGGGGAGGACA